CCAUAGCUCACACGGCAUUCCGCCCUUUCCUCAUCUCAAAGGUCUCGGGUUCGAGUCCUACCAGCUGCAACCGAGAAGAAAAAAAUUGGUAAGUAUAUGAGGAGUGUGUGGGUGUGUAAUGUGUACCUAGGAUUGGGGGUUGCCAAUCCAUUGGGGUACCUAGAAUUGGGGGUUGUCCAAUCCACCGACCAAAAAAAAAAA
rnacentral:lncRNA from 1 species